rnacentral:tRNA from 1 species
GUCUGGGUGGUGUAGUCGGUUAUCACGUUAGUCUCACACGAAAGGUCCCCGGUUCAAGUCCGGGCUCAGACA